GACGUAGGGCGCGAGCGUUGUCCGGAUUUAUUGGGCGUAAAGAGCUCGUAGGCGGCUUGUUGCGUCGGCUGUGAAAACCCGCAGCUCAACUGUGGGCUUGCAGCUGAUACGGGCAGGCUAGAAUUCGGUAGGGGGGACUGGAAUACUUGGUGUAGCAGUGAAAUGCGUAGAUAUCAAGUGGAACACCAGUGGCGAAGGCGAGUCCCUGGACAACUCCUGACACUGAGGCACGAAAGCUAGGGGAGCAAACAGG
rnacentral:rRNA from 1 species